GCCAUGGUAUUUUAUGUUCAUGAAUCCAUAUUUUGAUUCACUUUCUAAUUUAAUUCUCUGAUCCUUGUGUGGGGUGUUCUAAAUGUGGUGAAGUGUGCAUAGAGGUUGUGAGUGAUCAAUAAGGGAUCAAUCACUCCUAAUAAGGGAAGUGAACAUCCUAUGUGAUCUCAUAGAUCGAUGAUUCUGGAAGUCUUUGAUCAAAGCAGGAUAAUAAUUAGAAAAGAAUUUUUAAUGUAUCAUCAAUUGAAUCAUCGCCUUCUGAUCGAAAUACAUAUAGAUAAGCAAUUAGAUUUGACAUAUUUUCAUACCCACAGCUCAUCUGAGAUGUUGUUUGACUGAAGAAUUGAAUUAUACGAUAAUUUACCACUGAAGGAUAUUUUGAUAUUUUUUUAUCAAAAUUUUAAAUC
rnacentral:lncRNA from 1 species